AUCUAUCUAUCUAUACGGUGUUAUUGUGUUAAGAGUACUGUCAUAUAUACCCAUCUAUAUAUAAGGUGUUAAGAAUAUGCUUACAUAUUGAUCAAAACGUGCAUCGUUCUAAAUUUUGUAGUUAACCACUUGCCUGAUUAGAACGUCUUUUUAGCCGUUUGUACUUACAGUUGAAAAUUCCAUUGAUUGGUGUAAUUGGCUAUUUAAUUACGACAGGGCCGUCUAAGCGAUCUCGAGUCUUACCAUCUAGGAAAACAACAUGGGCAAUUUUUAAACUAUUUAGCGUUCAUACAGUUUCUAGUGUUUUAAAAAUACUACAUGUAUACCUAGUGGCCAUGUUAUGACCUUUUUCAUUCGAUCACUACAGUUACUUAAUUACAUGCAUAAAAUAUGCAUUAAUGCUUCAGUUAAUUAACCGUCGAUCCUGUAAAAUAGUUGUAUCCAACAUUAUUCAAAGACAGGUUGGCAACAAGUACGUAGCUUUAAGCUAAUAUUUAUAGGUCACAUAUGCACAGUACCAUUUAUGUUAUAAUCGUAGUUUUU